AUUGAACGCUGGCGGCAGGCCUAACACAUGCAAGUCGAGCGGAGCGGCGGACGGGUGAGUAAUGCCUAUGAAUCUGCCUGGUAGUGGGGGAUAACGUCCGGAAACGGGCGCUAAUACCGCAUCCUAUCAGCUGAGCCUAGGUCGGAUUAGGUCGUUGUUGGGGUAAAGGCCUACCAAGGCGACGAUCCGUAACUGGGCUGAGAGGAUGAUCAGUCAAAAUGGAACGGAGACAAGGUACAGACUCCUACGGGAGGCAGCAGUGGGGAAUAUGGGACAAUGGGCGAAAGCCUGAUCCAGCCAUGCCGCGUGUGUGAAGAAGGUCUUCGGAUUGUAAAGCACUUUAAGUUGGGAGGCGUUACCAACAGAAUAAGCACCGGCUAACUGCGUGCCAGCAGCCGCGGUAAUUC
rnacentral:rRNA from 1 species